CUUCAGUCUAUAGCCUCACGCACUAAAUUCUCUAUCUGACUUAAGUAUCGGAGGGGGGAUGAGCACACACCUCGUUGCCUUUGUUGCAGGUAUUCACAGAUCAAUCGUGUUCAUCAAAGUGAAGUUAGACCAUCAAGCUCGAGAUCUUUCAGGUGAUUUUUUUGGUAGCAUCAUUAUUAUUAAUUUAAUUUCAUAAAUUCAAUAUUCAACUUCAAAAAACUCUAUAAUAUAAACUGAAUAACAAAAAUUUCACAAUCUAUCUAAUUUAACUAAGAUCUUGACAUAAAAUCAUCAUCAUCUCAAAAGUCAAAACAAUUAUAAUGAAUCAAUACUCAAACUAAAAUGAAAAAUUUAUAAGUUCUCGAAUCUAUUUAAUAAUUGGAAUGAAAAAUCAAGAACCCGAAAAUAUAUACAAUAAAUAUUAAAAUUCGAAUACUACUCGAUAAUAAUAUAUUAGUAUUGAAACCGAAUCAAUUAAUCAAUAUUGAUGUACAAACGACAAACCUAAAAGCAAUUUUCAAAUUAAUUAUUUAUGUAAUUUAAUGGUUAAAAAAUUCAAAUAUAUAGUGAAUUACCUGCUUCACUCAAAGUUGGAAUGGUUGCUCCAUCCAUGUCUACUAUCUUCCUCAAAGUCUUAGGACUUUCGACAAAUAAUCAGAAUUUGAUAAAGGCGACACAAUUAUUUGAAAAAUUAUGUUUCUCUUAAAAUCUUGAAUUAUAAAAUAAGCCCAUGAUUAAGUUUUUUUUUUUUUUGUUGGGCAAAAAAUUUCAAUUCAUUUAAAGUUUCCAAUUUUUAUUAAAAGAAGAUAUUUAUUUAUUUAUUUAUUUAUUUUUUUAGUUUCUGAAACGUUUCCGGAGAGUUUCCGAAGAGUUUCAAUUUUUGAAAAGGAGCGCUAGCGUCUAGAGAGUUUCCGUGCAUCAUGCUGGACAAUAAAAUAUUGUAAGAAUUCAAUGCUCUUUACAAUUAUUUCUAUAAUAGUGGUUAUGAAACCAAAUUAUUAUGAAGAGAAGCCAAGGCGCAGGCGGAAGAAGAACAAAGGUGAGGUAAGGAGCAGUGGGAUGAUGAGGAAGAGAAAGUAGAAUGAACAACAGAUGAAUCUACUGGAGCAGAGUUUGUAGAUUUUGCGGAAGAUGGCUCCUCCAAGGUGUUUUUUCGGGCUCAAUCUCCCAAACUUGACCUUAUCAAACACCUCAGACCAACGGCUCAAAUCCACUAUUAUGUAUACUCCAAUUUCCCAAGUUAAUAUAUCCACAGAGGACACUUUGGUUGCUGUAAUAUAUAACACGAAGAAGAAGAUAGCUUUAUGUAAAGAUCUCAAGGAUGAAGAGAGAGAAAAAAACAUAGAAAAACAGAUGCCUCAAUAAUAUAGCGCGCACACAUGGUUUUCACCGAAGUCAUAGGCAACUUACAGAUUUAGGGUAAACAACAAAAAUGCAAUGUUGUCAAAACCAGCCUAGCCAGUUCAACCGGUAAUCAAGAAUUAGACCCAAAAUCGAGCCAAUCAUGUUCGAUUGACCAACUGCAACAAAAAUCGUUGAAAACCUAUUGAACCAACCGAUUUAGCCGUAAAUUUGUGAACUGGCGACUGUUUUGCAAUUGUCAAUUUUGUCAACUUUCAUUUAUAAAAAUUUAACUUCAAGAAUGGGCCUCAAGCAC
rnacentral:lncRNA from 1 species